AGAGGCAGGAGCCAGGCUGAGCCCCAGCGGCAGGUGCCACACACAGCUGUCUGGAAAGUGUGAAUAACGCUGCGGUCAGCAGGCCAGAUGGAGAUCCCUGGGGAGCAAAGCUUUCUCUAAAACCCAAGGAAGAAAAAUCGAUGUCCUCGGAAGAGAGGAGCUGUUUGUAGUGGGUCAUAAAGGUUGUGGCUGAUAUAUCCAUGAAGUCCAAGAUCAAUGUCACCCUUAAUUUUACACUGCAUGUUGAUGUCGGCUCCAGCAAAGACAGCAAAAAUGCUGAGUUAAAUUCAACACAUGCCAUUCAAGAGAGACAUGGCUCCUCAAACCGCUUGAGGAAGAAGAAUCCCCCACCUUUUGAAUGCUCUCACUUCCUUUCCAAGUUCCUUUUCAGUCUUUCUAUUAAAUAAUGCCCAAAUUCUGACCAAAUGGAUAGAUUUCUUGAAGUCAUUAAAGAUCCUUUUUGAUGGGAAAA